rnacentral:misc_RNA from 1 species
GGGUGAUAGAGUGAGAGUUAAGAGUUAUUUUACUAAUCAUAUUUUCAAGGUCACAAAGUUCACAGUCAAGGCAUUACAAAUUUCUUGCUCAUAAUCCCACUAAUAUUAGAAGCAAAUUGUUGAUUAUCUCACAUUAGAUACAGCUGAAAACAUAAUCAAAAUCAAUUUAAACAAAAAAAUGAAAACAAUUGUAGAUAAAGCCUGAGGAAAUG